AGCAUGUGGGUAGUUUUAAGCCACUCGGUGGUGACUGAAAAACCCGAGUGGUAGCGUGGGGACUCGAACCCGCGUCGUCCAUCACGCGGUGAAUGUGGGCCCAGUACGCUACCAGUUCGGCCACCGCCUACCCAAUGGAGUAUGCAUCCCACGUGUGGGGGGGUCCACUCACACAGCUCUUCUGGACAGAGUGGAGUCUAAGGCUCUUCAUCUCAUCAGCUCUCCUCCUCCUACUGAUAGCCUUCUACCUCUUAAAUUCCGCCGCGAUGUUGCCUCUCUAUCUUCUAUCGAUAUUUCCACGCUGACUGCUCUUCUGAACUUGCUAACUGCAUGCCUCCCCCCCUCCCGCGGCCCCGCUGCACACGACUUUCUACUCAUGCUCAUCCCUACAUUGUCCAAACCCCUUAUGCAAGAGUUAACCAGCAUCUUCACUCUUUCAUCCCUCACGCUGGUAAACUCUGGAACAUUCCAAUCUUCCUUCAUCAGUAUUUCCUCCUGCCUACGACUUGAACUCUUCUAGAGGAGGGUAUCAGGACACCUCUCCUCUCGAAAUUGAUCUUUCUUUCGGCCACCUCUUUUAAUUAUUUUUUGGGAGCAGCGAGUAGUGGUUUUUUUUUUAUUGUUUUCUUUUUUUGUGUGCCCUUGAGCUGCCUCCUUUGUUGUAAAAAAAACCCACCAUGUCUCCCUGUUCAGUCACUUCCUCUCAGUACACACAUUCUCUCAUCUACCAACUAUUUUUUUCCAUUAAUCAUCUGCUCUAUUGAUCCAUUUCACAAGUGGUCUCCCCCUCUCCUCAGUCCUGCUCUGUAAAGUCUCUUCACAAACUCAUACUUAUUCGUCAUGUGGCCAACCAUCUCAAAGCACCAUGCUUCACAACUCACUGCUUUUGGUGUCACACCUUUACCAAACCUUUUCAUUCAUGCUCUAAUGCCUUCUCCAUCCCACCUCAACACACAAAAUGCAUCUCGCAUUGCUCAUUUCUACUAGUACACACAUUAGUGAUCGGCACGCUACACCACUCAUCCACACCUCUGAUGCAUGAGACAGUUGGGGGGUUAACAGUUUUCUAUAUUACCCUUUUCACAACCAUUAGGGUUUAUUAUGCACAUAGGGCUACCACACCAGUCCUACCAGUCAUCCACACUAUCAUCAAUCCAUUCCAUCCAUUUUCAUCUAUACUCUUGAGGAGACCAAUAAUGCGCCCCCUUCCUUUCCUAUUCCCUUUUCAUCUGCUGCCAUACCAGUCCUUUUCUCUCCGCAUGCCUACAAACUAUUUUUGUCAUUAUUUGAACAAGUCUGUGCACCACACCAUUUCUGGGUUUCACUAAUACCUAGAAAUACCUUUCCUCUCCUGAAUGCUUCUAUAACUUAUUCUCCUUUUUCGUUCUUCAGCCAGUUCAUUUAAAUUCACACAUGCAACAAUAAGGACCUUGCCCUCCUCCCCUUCCUGGGGAGAAUGGAGACCCAGCUCUGCUUGGCAUUUUCUAUCACCCCCACCAGGGGCCACGGGCAGCUAGCAGGACUAGUGCAGUGUUAAUUCCUAAAGGAAAAUGAGUCAUCAGAUCACUGAGAAACUAUAGGCACCAUUUUCAAAGUCAAUACACUAAUAUAAAUGUGAUAUGUAAAAUAAAAUAAAAACUGGAAUACUCAUUAAACAAAGCACUUACAGUACCUGACCUCUGCAAAGAAAAAAAAAGUUAUUAAAGAUAAAUUACAUAAAUUAGAAGUAAAUAAAAGAUACUGAUGAGAUCACGUCUUCAUGAAGGCAAAGUAGGAUUUUACUACUACAUAUAAGCAAAUCAUAUGAUAGCCCCAGAGGCGCAGUUAGUUCUCAACAAUAUAAACUUGCUACAAACUGUGCCACAACCCUUAUAUGUACACACAAAAAUCUCAGCCUCGUUGGUUAUGAUAACAGGAAAGAGCCCUGGCAAUUAUGGCAUAGAAGCAGAAUUACCGAAAUAUAAUUAUGCCGUGGAAUGGAUGCCGUAGAUAUGAAAUCUGGCAUAGGAGCAUGGUGAGGUCAGAAGACUGAAGAAAGGCUAUCAUAUUGAGCUACUGAACAGAAGAAAAGGAAGUAAGGAUGAUUAAGCUAUAGAGGAGUCUGUGAAGAAAGGUGUAUGUGUUUGAGAAGAUAAUGAUGCAAAACAACUGAUGACAGUGCAGAUGAACAAGGGGGGUUGAAAAUGGGAGGGAUGUGAAACAAAUUUUAUGACUGAAAAGGACUCCAGAAGUAACUGAGAAGGAUAGGAAGUUGUUUGCUGCUUUAAUGGAACUGGAGAAGGCCUCUGACAUGGUUGACAGUUAGGGAUGUCCUGAGGGUAGGUAUAUGGUGUAGUAGGAUAUAUACUUGGAGAAGGUAUGUUUACAUGAAUGCAAGUGCCUUUGUGCAUGUGAAUAGGUACCUAAGUGAGAAAUUUGAUGUUGGUGUCAGUGCAAGAUAUCAUGGCUGUUAAAUAAUUAUAUGGAUGAUGGGAGAUAGGCGGCAUGUCUCUUUUGCAGAUGAUACAGUCACGGAUGCAGAAAAUGAGAAGACAAUGCUGAGGAUUGUUGAUGAAUUUGACUGUGGAGAUGAAAGUAAAUGUUAGCAAGAGAAAGGUUAUGAUAUCUGAGAAGACAAGAAAGUUGAAUAAUGAUUUAGCAAAGUCAUACAGAGUUGAGACAGAGAGCACAACAGAGUCUAAGAUGUGGUUUGGGGAAGAGAAAAUAAAAGUAGUGAUUGCAAUAUGGGAGAAGUUCUCAUUUAGGCAGUGUUCACACCAUCCACAGGUUCGUUGAUUACUUUGACAAAAAAGUUACAUAAAUUAACAUUCAUGAGUGUCAAGACUCCUGUGAUGUGACUACUGACCAACUAACUGAGAAGUGUUAUGGUAUUGCAGGAAAACAAAUACACUGGAGAAAGUACAAGAAAUUGGCAGGACUUUCAAAGCUGCAAACAUGUGAUCCAAGUAUUUAGAAGGCAAGGCAGCUAUUACUUCUGAAAUGCAGGUACACACAGUGCAUGCACGGGGCAGUAUUCGUGGGUCGCGUCCAUCGGUCUCCUGUGCGGGGUGUUUGACGACGCACCACAUGAGAAGAACCGUCGAAGAUGAUGACUGAACAUUCCACUGCACCACCACACGCUGGCCUCAUCGCCGAGAACCUCGUCCAUCAACGCAACACUUAUCCACGGACACAAAGUCAUGAUCCACCCUUUCCACAAUGCACUAUGAAUUUUGUCCAUUUCAGUUCAUCUUCAAAACAUAAACUAACUUUACAAUCUCAAAACUGUUCAUCCCUGAAUACAAAACGUCGUGGCACCCAAAAUGAGA